rnacentral:rRNA from 1 species
UUCCCCUAGUAACGGCGAGUGAAGCGGGAAGAGCUCAAAUUUGAAAUCUGGUAGCCUUCGGUUGCCCGAGUUGUAAUCUAGAGAAGUGUUUUCCGUGCCGGCCCAUGUACAAGUCCCUUGGAACAGGGCGUCAUAGAGGGUGAGAAUCCCGUCCUUGACAUGGACCCCCGGUGCUUUGUGAUACACUUUCAACGAGUCGAGUUGUUUG